rnacentral:rRNA from 1 species
AGAGUUUGAUCAUGGCUCAGGGGACGAACGCUGGCGGCGUGCUUAACACAUGCAAGUCGAACGAUGACGGUGGUGCUUGCACCGCCUGAUUAGUGGCGAACGGGUGAGUAACACGUGAGUAACCUGCCCUCCACUUCGGGAUAACCUCGGGAAAUCGUGGCUAAUACCGGAUAUGAGCACUCAUCGCAUGGUGGGUGUUGGAAAGAUUUAUCGGUGGGGGAUGGACUCGCGGCCUAUCAGUUUGUUGGUGAGGUGAUGGCUCACCAAGACGAUGACGGGUAGCCGGCCUGAGAGGGCGACCGGCCACACUGGGACUGAGACACGGCCCAGACUCCUACGGGAGGCAGCAGUGGGGAAUAUUGCACAAUGGGCGAAAGCCUGAUGCAGCGACGCCGCGUGGGGGAUGACGGCCUUCGGGUUGUAAACCCCUUUCAGUAGGGAAGAAGCGAGAGUGACGGUACCUGCAGAAGAAGCGCCGGCUAACUACGUGCCAGCAGCCGCGGUAAUACGUAGGGCGCAAGCGUUGUCCGGAAUUAUUGGGCGUAAAGAGCUUGUAGGUGGCUUGUCGCGUCUGCCGUGAAAACCCGAGGCUCAACCUCGGGCGUGCGGUGGGUACGGGCAGGCUAGAGUGUGGUAGGGGAGACUGGAACUCCUGGUGUAGCGGUGAAAUGCGCAGAUAUCAGGAAGAACACCGAUGGCGAAGGCAGGUCUCUGGGCCAUUACUGACACUGAGAAGCGAAAGCAUGGGUAGCGAACAGGAUUAGAUACCCUGGUAGUCCAUGCCGUAAACGUUGGGCACUAGGUGUGGGGGACAUUCCACGUUUUCCG